UACGUAGGGGGCAAGCGUUGUCCGGAAUCAUUGGGCGUAAAGAGCGUGUAGGCGGCCCGGUAAGUCCGCUGUGAAAGUCCAGGGCUCAACCCUGGGAUGCCGGUGGAUACUGUCGGGCUCGAGUCCGGAAGAGGAGUGUGGAAUUCCUGGUGUAGCGGUGAAAUGCGCAGAUAUCAGGAGGAACACCAAUGGCGAAGGCAGCACUCUGGGACGUGACUGACGCUGAGACGCGAAAA
rnacentral:rRNA from 1 species